rnacentral:rRNA from 1 species
UUGGUAUGUAUGUCCAGAGGCGUAGCCCGCACGACGAGGUGAGUAAUGCCUGGGGGAUCUGCCCAGUCGGGGGGGAUAACUACUGGAAACGGUAGCUAAUACCGCAUAACGCCCUACGGGGAAAGCGGGGGACCUUCGGGCCUCAUGCCAUUGGAUGAACCCAGGUGGGAUUAUCUAGUUGGUGAGGUAAUGGCUCACCAGGGCCACUAUCCCUAUCUGGUCUGAGAGGAUGAUCACCCACUCUGGAACUGACACACGGUCCACACUCCUACGGGAGGCAGCAGGGGGGAAUAUUGCACAGUGGGGGAAACCCUGAUGCACCCAUGCCGCGUGUGUGAAGAAGGCCUUCGGGUUGUAAAGCACUUUCAGCGAGGAGGAAAGGGGUAAGGCUAAUAACCUUGCCGCUUGACGUUACUCGCAAAAAAAGCACCGGCUAACUCCGUGCCAGCAGCCGCGGUAAUACGGAGGGUGCAAGCGUUAAUCGGAAUUACUGGGCGUAAAGCGCACGCAGGCGGUUGGAUAAGUUAUAUGUGAAACCCCCGGGCUCAACCUGGGAAUUGCAUUUAAAACUGUCCAGCUAGAGUCUUGUAGAGGGGGGUAAAAUUCCAGGUGUAGCGGUGAAAUGCGUAGAGAUCUGGAGGAAUACCGGUGGCAAAGGCGGCCCCCUGGACAAACACUGACGCUCAGGUGCAAAAGCGGGGGGAGCAAACGAGAUUAUAUCCCCUGGUUGUCCACCCCAUAAACAAUGUCGUUUUGGAGGCUGUGUCCUUGAGACGUGGCCUCCGGAGCUAACGCGUUAAAUCCACCCCCUGGGGGAGUACGGCCGCAAGGUUAAAACUCAAAUGAAUUGACGGGGGCCCCGCACAAGCGGGGGAGCAUGGGGUUUUAUUUCGAUGCCACCCGAAAAACCUUACCUGGUCUUGACAUCCCAGGAAUCCUGAAAAAAAUCGGGAGUGCCUUCGAAAACGCUAAAACAGGUGCUGCAUGUCUUUCCUCAAC